rnacentral:rRNA from 1 species
AAUCGGGGCCACUUGUAAGUUGACCUUUCGGCCCACCUCGCAGCCUCCUCGUUCUUUCCAGAGAGGAGGGCAGGUGCUCCCCCUGCCGUGUGCCGUCCCACGUUUCCCCGCCAGCAAGAAAAGCACACGCGCACUCCCGUCCGGCUGACACGUGGGACCCGCCCGUCACCCCCCCGUCAACAAAGCCGCCUCCGGCAACAACCGCCGAGAUUUUGCAAUCCGGUCCUCCACUUCGUCCCUCCCCAGCCCAGAAACCCUAGACCGUCGCUCGCCUGCUUUCCUUCCCCGACGCGACAGGCGAAUCCAAGGUUUCGCGGCGGUCGCGGCCCUAGCACGCGCUGGAUCUGACGCGGCAGCUCCCGGCGGCCGCGUACUACUGCCUGCUCUUCGCUGCGUCGGCGGCCGUCCUCGGGCUCCUCGGCGGCGUCGCGCGCUAUAUGCUUCCCCGGAAGCGGGAGAUCGUCGCCGGCGAGGUCGAGGACUUGCAGAAGAAGACCCGUGCCGGGGAGGGCGAGGCCACCAGGGAGGAAGGAGACGCAGCCAUGGCUGGGAGGGGGAACGAGAUCGACGAGGACCUGCACAGCCGCCAGCUCGCCGUCUAUGGCCGCGAGACCAUGAAGCGCCUCUUCGGCUCCAACGUCCUCGUCUCUGGACUCCAGGGUCUCGGUGCUGAGAUCGCAAAGAACCUUGUCCUUGCGGGUGUCAAGUCUGUAACCUUGCAUGAUGAUGGUAAUGUGGAGCUGUGGGACUUAUCAAGCAACUUCUUCCUCUCGGAGAAUGAUGUUGGGCAAAACCGUGCUCAAGCUUGUGUACAGAAGCUACAAGAGCUGAACAACGCUGUCCUCGUCUCUGCCUUAACCGGUGAUUUGACCAAGGAGCACCUUUCUAAAUUCCAGAAUAACUUUCAUAUGUACUUGCAGGCCGUUGUCUUCACUGAUAUCAGCUUAGAUAAAGCAAUUGAGUUUGAUGAUUACUGCCACAGCCACCAGCCACCCAUUGCUUUCAUCAAGUCUGAAGUUCGUGGUCUUUUUGGCAGUGUGUUUUGUGACUUUGGUCCUGAAUUUACUGUUUUGGAUGUGGAUGGUGAGGAACCACAUACAGGAAUUGUUGCAUCAAUCAGCAAUGACAAUCCAGCACUUGUAUCUUGUGUGGACGAUGAGCGUCUGGAGUUCCAGGAUGGUGAUCUAGUUGUUUUCUCUGAAGUCCAUGGAAUGACUGAGCUGAAUGAUGGAAAACCAAGAAAAGUUAAGAAUGCAAGGCCUUACUCUUUCUUCUUGGAAGAAGACACUUCCUCAUUUGGCACAUACGUUAGAGGUGGUAUCGUCACACAGGUCAAGCCACCGAAGGUUAUUAAAUUCAAACCCUUGAAAGAGGCCAUGUCAGAGCCGGGAGAAUUUCUCAUGAGUGAUUUCUCCAAAUUUGAGCGGCCACCUCUUCUGCAUUUGGCAUUCCAAGCUUUGGAUAAGUUUAGGACUGAGUUGAGCAGAUUCCCUGUUGCUGGGUCCACUGAUGAUGUGCAAAGGGUGAUAGAGUAUGCUAUUAGCAUUAAUGAUACUCUGGGAGAUAGGAAACUUGAAGAAAUUGACAAAAAGCUCCUGCACCAUUUUGCCAGUGGUUCCAGGGCUGUUCUGAAUCCUAUGGCUGCGAUGUUUGGUGGUAUUGUCGGUCAGGAGGUAGUGAAAGCUUGCUCAGGGAAAUUUCAUCCACUUUAUCAGUUCUUCUAUUUUGAUUCUGUCGAGUCUCUCCCUGUUGACCCCUUGGAGCCUGGUGAUUUGAAGCCAAAGAACAGUAGAUAUGAUGCUCAAAUCAGCGUAUUUGGAUCUACGCUUCAAAACAAACUGGAGGAAGCAAAAAUCUUUAUGGUCGGUUCUGGGGCACUUGGAUGCGAGUUCUUGAAGAACCUGGCACUAAUGGGUAUUUCUUGCAGCCAGAAUGGAAAUCUGACUGUGACAGAUGAUGAUGUUAUUGAAAAGAGCAAUCUGAGUCGCCAAUUUCUUUUCCGUGACUGGAACAUUGGGCAACCUAAGUCCACAGUUGCUGCUACAGCUGCUAUGGUAAUUAAUCCUAAACUUCAUGUCGAGGCCCUUCAGAACAGAGCAAGUCCUGAGACUGAAAAUGUGUUUAAUGAUGCCUUCUGGGAGAACCUUGAUGCUGUUGUCAAUGCCCUUGACAAUGUGACUGCAAGAAUGUACAUAGACUCCAGAUGUGUAUAUUUCCAGAAGCCACUUUUGGAAUCUGGGACUCUGGGUGCUAAAUGCAAUACACAGAUGGUCAUCCCUCACCUAACAGAGAACUAUGGGGCUUCAAGGGAUCCACCUGAAAAGCAGGCACCUAUGUGCACUGUACAUUCAUUUCCUCAUAACAUUGAUCAUUGCCUAACCUGGGCUAGGUCUGAGUUUGAGGGUUUACUUGAGAAGACUCCCACUGAAGUAAAUGCUUUCCUGUCAAAUCCUACUACAUACAUAAGUGCAGCAAGAACUGCUGGUGAUGCACAGGCUAGAGAUCAGCUUGAACGUGUUAUUGAGUGUCUUGACAGAGACAAGUGCGAGACGUUCCAGGAUUCUAUUACCUGGGCCCGGCUUAAGUUUGAGGAUUACUUCUCCAACCGUGUGAAGCAGCUGACGUUCACUUUCCCAGAAGACUCGAUGACCAGCUCUGGUGCUCCUUUCUGGUCUGCUCCAAAGCGGUUCCCACGACCUGUGGAGUUCUCGUCGAGUGAUCCAAGUCAGCUUAGCUUUAUUUUGGCUGCUGCAAUAUUGAGGGCAGAGACUUUUGGAAUACCCAUAUCUGAGUGGGCCAAAACCCCAAACAAGCUGGCUGCUGAAGCUGUUGACAAGGUGAUUGUGCCGGAUUUCCAACCAAAGCAGGGGGUUAAGAUAGUUACAGAUGAGAAGGCCACUAGUCUAUCCUCUGCAUCUGUUGACGACGCUGCUGUCAUUGAAGAGCUUAUUGCCAAGUUAGAAGAAGUUUCCAAAACACUGCCAUCAGGGUUCCACAUGAACCCAAUACAGUUUGAGAAGGAUGAUGACACAAACUUCCAUAUGGAUGUGAUAGCUGGUUUUGCCAACAUGAGGGCAAGGAACUACAGCAUUCCUGAAGUGGACAAGCUAAAGGCCAAGUUUAUAGCCGGCAGGAUCAUCCCAGCUAUCGCCACCUCCACCGCGAUGGCCACUGGCCUUGUCUGCCUUGAGCUUUACAAAGCCCUUGCUGGUGGACACAAGGUCGAAGACUACCGCAACACGUUUGCAAACCUUGCGAUCCCUCUCUUCUCCAUUGCUGAACCAGUUCCACCCAAGACCAUCAAGCACCAGGAGCUGUCGUGGACGGUCUGGGACCGGUGGACUGUGACAGGCAACAUCACGCUGAGGGAGCUCCUGGAGUGGCUCAAGGAGAAGGGCCUGAACGCUUACAGCAUAUCCUGUGGCACCUCUCUGCUGUACAACUCCAUGUUCCCCAGGCACAAGGAACGGCUUGACAGGAAGGUUGUUGAUGUUGCCAGGGAGGUGGCUAAGAUGGAGGUGCCCUCUUACCGGCGUCAUCUCGACGUUGUGGUGGCCUGUGAGGAUGACGACGACAACGAUGUCGACAUCCCACUUGUGUCGGUCUACUUCCGCUGAAGAAGCGCUCCUUCUGCGUUUACAUGAUCUUGUGGUUGGUCAUGCUGGAUCGACUGACAUGUCAUGAGUCGCAUUAGUGAUUGUAAGCUGAGUGGGGGCUUAAGCCACAUUAUCGACUGAUUUUUCCUUUCUACCAUCUUGAUGUCGAUCGGAUCAUUGGGGGCUGAUCUCGGGUUGUUACCAGACAUAACUAUUCACGAGACUAGGCACAACAUCAUCUUGAUAAUUGUUGCAUGAUGCGUUCACAACUAAAAUUGGUCGUCGUGGGAUUGAAUGAAUGUUUUAAUCUGUUUGUCCUCUUUUGUGCGCCACUGUGCACUAUUCAAGUGGGAUCACCUUCGUUGCCUUCAUUACUUGUUCAAUUCAAUC